GAAAAAUAAAAAAAUCGAACGAAAAAAAAAUUGGUCAAAGUGCAAGAAGCUUCUUUGCUUUCUGCUUUUUUUGAUUCUGCUAGUGAUUGAAUAGUGAAGCAUUGGUUACCCUGCCUUUUCAUGAUGAACUAUGAAGCUCACUGGAAACCGUAGUUUGCCAUCAAUCGUCUACGUUUUCCAUACAAAACAGCAGCUGCUAUUUGUUUGUCAUAUCCACCGAAUAUAAGAGCUGAUACAGGAGCAUAACCACGGAAGUUCCAGAGCAUGGUUAAUAAAUAUCAGUCCCAAAAAGGAUGCCGGAAGAUAGCAGCCGCAUCAAGCACCGCAAUUAUUACAAUUAGACUAUGAACACCAGUACUCUUUACCAGCAGCAACACUUACGGCAUGCUCAGCGAGUAGCUUUGAAGAGCGCUCAACAACAGGAUAAAAUAAACUCUAAAAUUAAAUUAAAACUAAA